ACACGGAGGGUGCGAGCGUUGUCCGGAUUCACUGGGCGUAAAGCGCGCGUAGGCGGACUUUCAAGUCAGGGGUGAAAUCCCGAGGCUCAACCUCGGAACUGCCUCUGAUACUGAGAGUCUUGAGGCCGAGAGAGGUGAGUGGAAUUCCUAGUGUAGAGGUGAAAUUCGUAGAUAUUAGGAAGAACACCAGUGGCGAAGGCGGCUCACUGGCUCGGUACUGACGCUGAGGCGCGAAAGCGUGGGGAGCAAACAGGAUUAGAAACCCCAGUAGUCC
rnacentral:rRNA from 1 species